rnacentral:tRNA from 2 species
GGGCGAGUGGCGGAAUUGGUAUACGCGACGGACUUAAAAUCCGUUGAGAGCAAUCUCGUGAGGGUUCAAGUCCCUCCUCGCCCACCA